rfam:Japanese encephalitis virus isolate NPA04 polyprotein gene, complete cds
AUGACUAAAAAACCAGGAGGGCCCGGGAAAAACCGGGCCAUCAAUAUG